rnacentral:rRNA from 1 species
CCUACGGGAGGCAGCAGUAGGGAAUAUUGCUCAAUGGGGGAAAGCCUGAAGCAGCAACGCCGCGUGGAGGAUGAAGGUUUUCGGAUUGUAAACUCCUUUUGUUAGAGAAGAUAAUGACGGUAUCUAACGAAUAAGCACCGGCUAACUCCGUGCCAGCAGCCGCGGUAAUACGGAGGGUGCAAGCGUUACUCGGAAUCACUGGGCGUAAAGAGCGCGUAGGCGGGAUAGCAAGUCAGAUGUGAAAUCCUAUGGCUUAACCAUAGAACUGCAUUUGAAACUGUUAUUCUAGAGUAUGGGAGAGGUAGGUGGAAUUCUUGGUGUAGGUGUAAAAUCCGUAGAGAUCAAGAGGAAUACUCAUUGCGAAGGCGACCUGCUAGAACAUAACUGACGCUGAUGCGCGAAAGCGUGGGGAGCAAACAGGAUUAGAUACCUCAGUAGUC